UUGAACGCUGGCGGCAGGCCUAACACAUGCAAGUCGAGCGGAUGAAGGGAGCUUGCUCCUGAAUUCAGCGGCGGACGGGUGAGUAAUGCCUAGGAAUCUGCCUGGUAGUGGGGGACAACGUUUCGAAAGGAACGCUAAUACCGCAUACGCCCUACGGGAGAAAGCAGGGGACCUUCGGGCCUUGCGCUAUCAGAUGAGCCUAGGUCGGAUUAGCUAGUUGGUGAGGUAAUGGCGCGCCAAGGCGACGAUCCGUAACUGGUCUGAGAGGAUGAUCAGUCACACUGGAACUGAGACACGGUCCAGACGCCUACGGGAGGCAGCAGUGGGGAAUAUUGGACAAUGGGCGAAAGCCUGAUCCAGCCAUGCCGCGUGUGUGAAGAAGGUCUUCGGAUUGUAAAGCACUUUAAGUUGGGAGGAAGGGUUGUAGAUUAAUACUCUGCAAUUUUGACGUUACCGACAGAAUAAGCACCGGCUAACUCUGUGCCAGCAGCCGCCGCAGUA
rnacentral:rRNA from 1 species